rnacentral:ribozyme from 1 species
CCGAGAGCAUGGGCCGAUCGAUCGAACUGGGAUCCAUGGCCUGCAAUUGUUCGGCUCCCGAUACGGGCAACAUGGAGGUCUUGUUGGAAUUCGGAACGCCAGCACAGCAACGCCAAUAUUUGAAGCCCUUGCUCGAGGCAAAAAUACGAUCCACCUUUUUGAUGACGGAA